rnacentral:rRNA from 1 species
AUUGAACGCUGGCGGCAUGCCUUACACAUGCAAGUCGAACGGUAACGCGGGGCAACCUGGCGACGAGUGGCGAACGGGUGAGUAAUACAUCGGAACGUGCCCAGUAGUGGGGGAUAGCCCGGCGAAAGCCGGAUUAAUACCGCAUACGACCUACGGGUGAAAGCAGGGGAUCGCAAGACCUUGCGCUAUUGGAGCGGCCGAUGUCAGAUUAGGUUGUUGGUGGGGUAAAAAGCCUACCAAGCCGACGAUCUGUAGCUGGUCUGAGAGGACGACCAGCCACACUGGGACUGAGACACGGCCCAGACUCCUACGGGAGGCAGCAGUGGGGAAUUUUGGACAAUGGGCGCAAGCCUGAUCCAGCCAUGCCGCGUGCGGGAAGAAGGCCUUCGGGUUGUAAACCGCUUUGUCAGGAAGAAACGCUCCGGGCUAAUACCUUGGGUAAUGACGGUACCUGAAGAAUAAGCACCGGCUAACUACGUGCCAGCAGCCGCGGUAA